GCGAGUGUAAUUCAAUGGUUAGAAUCUCGGUCUUCCAAACCGGCUAUGAGAGUUCGAUUCUCUCUACUCGCUCCA
rnacentral:tRNA from 1 species